rnacentral:rRNA from 1 species
UACGGAGGGUGCAAGCGUUAUCCGGAUUCACUGGGUUUAAAGGGUGCGUAGGUGGGCAGGUAAGUCAGUGGUGAAAUCUCUGGGCUUAACCCGGAAACUGCCGUUGAUACUAUCUGUCUUGAAUAUAGUGGAGGUGAGCGGAAUAUGUCAUGUAGCGGUGAAAUGCUUAGAUAUGACAUAGAACAUCGAUUGCGAAGGCAGCUCGCUACACUAUGAUUGACACUGGGGCACGAAAGCGUGGGGAUCAAACAGG